rnacentral:rRNA from 1 species
GCCCAGACUCCUACGGGAGGCAGCAGUGGGGAAUAUUGCACAAUGGGGGGAACCCUGAUGCAGCGACGCCGCGUGGGUGAAGGAGCACCUCGGUGCGUAAAGCCCUAUCGGCAGGGAAGAAAAGCGAACAGGUUCGCCUGGACGGUACCUGACUAAGAAGCCCCGGCUAACUACGUGCCAGCAGCCGCGGUAAUACGUAGGGGGCAAGCGUUAUCCGGAUUUACUGGGUGUAAAGGGAGCGUAGACGGCAAGGCAAGUCUGGAGUGAAAGCCCGUGGCCCAACCACGGGACUGCUUUGGAAACUGUGUUGCUGGAGUGCAGGAGGGGUAAGCGGAAUUCCUAGUGUAGCGGUGAAAUGCGUAGAUAUUAGGAGGAACACCGGUGGCGAAGGCGGCUUACUGGACUGUAACUGACGUUGAGGCUCGAAGGCGUGGGGAGCAAACAGGAUUAGAUACCCGCGUA